rnacentral:rRNA from 1 species
AACGUAGGAGGCGAGCGUUAUCCGGAUUUACUGGGCGUAAAGCGCGUGCAGGCGGUCGUGCAAGUUGGGCGUGAAAUCUUUCGGCUUAACCGGGAGGGGUCGUCCAAUACUACGCGACUUGAGGGCAGGAGAGGGAAGCGGAAUUCCCGGUGUAGCGGUAAUAUGCGCAGAUAUCGGGAGGAACACCAGUGGCGAAGGCGGCUUCCUGGCCUGUUACUGACGCUAAGACGCGAAAGCUAGGGGAGCGAACGGG